AUGAACCUAGACAUGAGCUGGAUGUACUUAUAUUCUGUGUUUGCAGGUGCCCAGUAUGAUGUGCAGCUGGUGGAGUCUGGGGGAGGCCUAGUGCAGGCUGGAAAGUCCCUGAAACUCUCCUCUGCAGCCUCUGGAUUCACUUUCAGUAGCUAUGACAUAAGCUGGGUCCGCCAGGCUCCAGGGAAAGGACUGGAGUGGGUGGCAUACAUUAGUGGUGGUAGUAGUUACAUCAACUAUGCCAAUGCUGUCAAUGGCCGGUUCACCAUCUCCAGGGAGAAUGCCAAGAACACGCUGUACCUGCAAAUGAACAGGCUGAGCUCUGAGGAUACAGCCAUGUAUUACUGUACCAGAGUCACAGUGAUACAAUUCUACUGUGAGCUCAGACACAAACCUCCCUGCAGGGUUAUCAGGACCAGCAGAGGGCGCGAGUUUCACACAAAGAUCUGGGCAAUGGAAGAGCCUCUUCAGAGGCAUAGAGGGUUGGAGUCCUCUGUGACUGGGCUGCUUCUCUGUAACAAUCUCAAGGAUUCUCUCUGCUGGUAUGCUCUGUAG